rnacentral:lncRNA from 1 species
AACCAAUAGAGAGAGAGUUAACUCAUAAGAUAGGAUAGUAUAGGAGGAUGAUAAGAAGAUCUGUGUCUUUUUCUUUGUUUUGUUUGUUUGUUGUCUAAAGCAAAGCAAAGGCAAAACUGGAAAUGCAAAAUUAAUUAAUUUCCCCCCUUUCUCUCCUAGGAUUGUUUGUGAUUGGAAUAAAAGUUAAUAAAGUGAUUUUACUAACAUACCAGAAACAGUAAUGAAUAUAAAAAGAAAUGAUUGAAUUUGCUUGCAUAAUAGAGGGAGAGAGAUAAUUGAAUUACUACUACUACUGCAUAAUAUAAAUAAUAAUAGAUAGAUAGAUAGAGAGAGAGAGAGAGUCAAAAGAAAGGGAGAAGAAGAAGAAGAAGAAGAAGUAAAUGUUAAGCAGUAAGUUAGUAGUAGACUAGACUAGACAGAUAGAUGGGUGGUGGAGGAACU